rnacentral:rRNA from 1 species
UACAGAGGGGGCAAGCGUUAUUCGGAAUUAUUGGGCGUAAAGGGCGCGUAGGCGGCCUGACAAGUGGAUGGUGAAAUCCCUCGGCUUAACCGAGGAACUGCCAUCCAGACUGUGUGGCUUGAGUCCGGGAGAGGUGAGUGGAAUUCCCAGUGUAGCGGUGAAAUGCGUAGAUAUUGGGAGGAACACCAGUGGCGAAGGCGGCUCACUGGACCGGUACUGACGCUGAGGCGCGAAAGCGUGGGGAGCAAACGGG